CCGAGUUAGGGUCUCUCCCACGAGGCCCGACCUCCCAACCCUGUGUUUACCCAACCCAAACGUGUUGCUUCGGCGGACCGGGACGCCCGUAACUGGGGGUCACCGCCGGGGGAACGCCCGCGAGGGCUGCCCCUGGAGAGUCGUCCGUCGAUGGCCCAACCAACCAAAAUUCUAUACCACAAAAUAUUGUCACGAUUCUGAAUCACAACCUUUGAUGUAACAAUCAAUUAAAAACA
rnacentral:misc_RNA from 1 species